rnacentral:rRNA from 1 species
UAAGGAAUAUUGGUCAAGGGAGGAAACUCUGAACCAGCCAUGCCGCGUGCAGGAAGACGGCCCUAUGGGUUGUAAACUGCUUUUAUAUAGGAAUAAACCUCUUCUCGUGAGAAGAGCUGAAGGUACUAUACGA